UGUGAGAGUUAGACGUAGGGCGCGAAGAGACUGACAUUACGACCAAGAACCACGAAUUAUCUACCGAUCAGCAAAAUACAAUUACACAUACACAUACGGAAAAGAAGGUUUAGGACUUGCGCGUAUUAUGGAGCACAGCAUAGAUCAGUCAAGCACAGGUACUGGCCGGUGUCACCAGAGAAAGAAAAGGCGAUUUUUUGGAAAUCGAUAAUAUACUCGCGAUAGACGUCAUCGAAGAGUCGAGAAGUUCAUGGAGUAGUAAUUUCGUGUUGGAAAAAAUUGGAAAAAAAUUGGGAAAAGACUCGGUGAUGUCUAGACUUGCGCGAACUGAAGAAGAGAAAGGUUUAGAUAAUGCAUCAUGGAAACUGUGGGUGCCUUCGACUUAGAGAUACCGUUCUACAACGAGCACAGUAUCCAGCUGACUCAGCUCGCUUGGGAAGGCUGGAAUCUUAAGCAGUACUUUUUUUAGACAGGACUCUUUUUAAAUAAAACCGACGAAGUGCAAGAAUCCGACAGGAAAGCUUUAGUCGCAAUACAAAAACAAGCGCUACCAAUUAUCCAAAGAUCAUAUUUCAAAAAGUAGAAGAACUGGCAUCCAAAAGCAUACGUGUGUGUAGUGAAGUAGACGAAACCAUCUGGAAACAAACUUUCCAUAUUCGCCAAAGAUCUACGUCAAUUAUAUAAACAUCAACUGCCGAGAAAGAUACCCAGAGAAAGAGCAUGCACUAGUUUUCAAAUGGAACGAACUGAAGCAAAGAGUGUUUCCAUUCUACGAUAAUAAAAUUAAAAACCAUCUCAGCAGGCAACAGCUUACCGAGGGGAAGUAGGCAAUAAAUUAUGUUUAUAUAAUUAAUACAACAUUUAUAUUUACUAAUUGUUAUAUUUGUCUGUCUCUUCUUGUAGAUGCCCAGGAUUUCUUAUUUGUUAUUUUGCUAAAUGCCGUGCUGCCACCGACACUAAAUCUAACUAAGAAGGUCACUGUAGCAGAAUAUCAUGGUGAUGCAUUUUGAUUAUUCCGAGCGAUCUAUAAUUCAACCUUUCGUCAUUGCUCACGAUUCUUUAGAUACGGAUGGAGACGGCUUUUACUUAUAUUUGACUCGUUUUUUCUAAAUCUCGACUCUUGUUUUAAAAUUUUCAACUGUUACGGCCUAAAAUAUCCAGAUCCUUGCUAAGAAGCGUACGCGUUUAUUAAAAAAUAUGUUUAUGAGAUAAAAUCAGAUUUCGAUAAA